GCGGGUCUAAGCUCAUGUAUCGCUCUGUUCUCCUCAGGGGCUUCUGGACACUCUGGUGAGGGCUUUUAACGCGAUGGGAUAAAGUCAAAAUAAAUCACCAAGCCAAGGGGUAGAAGUGCACCUCUCAUCCACAGUGAUCUCAGUGAUAUGACAACCAACUUGCCAAUUGUCAAAUCAGUGAACAGCCAGCCAGUGAAACUCUAAUGCCCCUCAGCCCACACCCACUGCAACACCGGUCUGACAGGUAUCCAUGGCUUUGGAGCUGUAUGUUUCUGAGGAGCAGUUACUGAACUGUUGUUUCUUGAUGCCCUUCUUUUCUUUCUCUGCUGUCCACUCACCCCAACUCGUCGAGGCAGACGGCCACACACCAAGACCCUGGUUCUAUUGGAGGUUUCUUCUUUUAAAGAGAGUUUUUCCUCCCCACUGGCACCUGGUGCUUGUUGUUUUUUUUUUCUGUAAUACUGUCUUGACCUUACUAUGUUCAGCAUGUUAACAUGGUUUUUGUUGCAAGUUGACACUAUAUAAAUGAAACUGAAUUGAACAGAAUAUGUACUUUAUAAUAUCAUGUAUAGCUCAUUGCUUUGUGAACACAAAUAUAAAACUUUAUGACUGUUUGUUUUUUGGUGUCACCAGUCAAGACAAGUCAAAUUCCAUUUAUAUCACCCAGUAUCACAAAUCACAAAUUUGUCUCAAAGGGCCUUACAAUCUGUACAACAUGUGAGCAGGAGGGGAGGCAUCCAUUUUCCAGGACAGUUACAUGCAAUAGAUGUCAUGUGUACAGGAUAAAUUCAGAGGAUAAUAUGGCAGUGAUGGUAAUAUCAAGUAAUAGUCAUUUGUGCAUUGGAAGCACAGGGCCGUGUUCAUUGCUAGACUGUACUAUAUGAGGAGUUAGGCAGAUCCCUUUUUGUGAGUGUCUCUAUUUUCAGUGUGUGUGUUUGUUCUGUCUAAAAAAAUCUUGUCCCGGGACAGUUCUUGUAAGCAUAACUGCUCUGUCUGGUAAACCAAGAGGAGCAAAUAAGUGUCAUCGAGCACCGCUCGAGCUGACCAACACAGUUAAGGGUUUUGUUUAGGGCAUCUUGACUUCCCAAACAAAAGCUACUGACUAUAAUGUAUUUUAGUAGUAUUAUUUAUUUCUCAGUAACUGCUCUUUUUGCAUAAAGCCGGAGACAAAUGCUUCGCAUGAGCUCUACAAUGGUGUGAAAAUUCUUUGCAUGACAAUAAUUGUUGUAACUACUUCAUAUGAGCCCUUUAAAGAAAAGGA